AUCGAACGCUGGCGGCAGGCCUAACACAUGCAAGUCGAGCGGAUGAAGGGAGCUUGCUCCUGGAUUCAGCGGCGGACGGGUGAGUAAUGCCUAUGAAUCUGCCUGGUAGUGGGGGAUAACGUCCUGAAACGGGCGCUAAUACCGCAUACGUCCUGAGGUCGAAAGUGGGGGAGCUUCGGACCUCUCGCUAUCAGAUGAGCCUAGGUCGGAUCCGCUAGUUGGUGGGGUAAUGGCCUACCAAGGCGACGAUCCGUAACUGGUCUGAGAGGAUGAUCAGUCACACUGGCACUGAGACACGGCCCCGACUCCUACGGUGGGACGCGGCGGGGAAUAUUGGGCGAUGGAGGAGUGCCUGAUCCAGCCCUGCCGCGUGUGUGCAGAAGGUCUUCGGAUUGUAGAGCACUUUAGGUUGGGGGGAAGGGAAGUAAGUUAAUACCUUGCUGUAUUGACGGUACCAACAGAAUAAGCACCGGCUAACUUCGUG
rnacentral:rRNA from 1 species